rnacentral:piRNA from 1 species
AAGCAUGAUGGGUACCACCCGAAUGGAGGGG